CGGGGAUCGAACCCGGGUCACCUGCGUGACAGGCAGGAAUACUUACCACUAUACUACAACGACUUGAUGGUUCAUAGGCAUGAUACUAAACUAUUUGAAACUUUUUAUUCAGAGACAAUUACGCCUUGCGGCUGGACAUAGGGCUGCUGUGGAUUGGAAGCGCACUGGUUCUUCUGCAACCGUUUAAGGGGGUUCUGGGUUGGGGAAAGGAAGGUCACUAUGCUGUUUGCGAGAUAGCAGAGGUCAUUAUAAUUAUUGUUUUAAUUUUUUUUUUUUUUUGCGUGUUUGUGUAUACUUGUUUUAAUUAGUUUAUUACUGAUAGAUUUUGAUGCAAUGUUGCGUGUCUUUAACAUGAUGACAUGGCAAGUGGUGAAGUAGAACUUAUUAUGAUCAAAUUUCAUUUUACAAUGAGAAGUUUGGUAAUUGGAGAAAUUUUAUGAACAAAUUCAGAACUCUCUAAAAAUUAUUAUUGUUAUUAUCAUUUAGAAAAAUUUCUUUGCUUGGCAUCUUCUAAAUGAACUGCCUAAUUUAAGUAAAUACUGUCACUGCGACUGGAAUUUUUGCUGUGUAGGAUAACGUUGGUAGAAACACAACUAUGAUUAUUGUUAAAAUGGGUAUGGAAGUUGGGCAGGAACAAAGGGGGAAAAGCUUGUUGAAAAUUUGUAAAUAGGCACUUUUUGAUCCCUUAUUAGGGAUAUCUCAUUGAAAAUUGCCUUAGCUGCGGUAAAAGAAUUGCUUCUAGAUUCUGCUGAAGGUGACCUUGCAAAUGUCUGCUACUGGCCUGAUUAAAUUCGACAUAACUUCUGCGGGUGCUGGACUAGCCCUUUACAAGAUGUUGAUACACCAGAUUUUAAGUGUAAUUAUGAAUACUGCACUAUCUAAUAGGGACUGCCAUGACUCUGGUGGACAUAAGGAUGGAUGUGUAACUGGAGCAAUAUACAACGAUACAGUGCAACUCAAAUCUGUUUAUUAGGACUCUGUUUCAGAGGCAACAUACAAUUUGACAGAGGUGCUUCUCUUUUUAUCACAUUAUAUUGGUACGUGCAUUAGGUAUGCUCUUCUAACGGGAAUCUUAAAGCUUCAACAUUCUGCCUCUGCAUGUCAGAUCCACAGGAGAUGAAGGGUGAACACAAUAACUGUCCAUUGGAUCCAUUGGAAAACAAACCUACGCCAUAUUCAAAAUUAUGGUAGAUAUGAAGAAAUCAUUAUGAAGUCAUUAAUGUACCUCUUUCUAGCUGUCUGGUAUCCCAACCAUCUAUAAAAUGAGAGGUGGAGGGAAAGAGGAGUUGGAGCAGUAUUUUAUGUGAAAACCUUUUUUUUUUUUUUUGGUGAAAAUUUGAGAGUGGGUUAGUAAGUAUUACUUGGAUAUGUAUACUGGGUCCUUAUGGUGAGGCCAGUGUGUGUCAUUGUCAUUCAAGGCAUUAAUUGGGUCAUAGUCCAGUGCGAAGGCUUGGAUUUUUCUUGUCUUAAGAUGGUUUCACAAAGCAAAAGUUGAUUUACUUUUUAAUUUUAAGGAAAUGGAUGCUUAAUUUAUUGUUAUGCUUGUGUGCAUAUCGUUUCUGAAUAUCAUUUUUUCUCAUGACCUUGCAAUCAAAAUCAAGUGUUCUUCUG